rnacentral:rRNA from 1 species
GGAAGUAAAAGUCGUAACAAGGUUUCCGUAGGUGAACCUGCGGAAGGAUCAUUCACAAUACAAAAACUCACAUCCUGUGAACCCGCUAAUGGCCCUGCCAUUGGCAAUCACACAUACCGGUCUGCUUGGUAUGUGGCUGUGCAAACAGUUGCAGACAACUUGUGGUGGUUAUAUCCUAAGAUAUUCAUAAGCUCUAUACACUAUUAGCGGUGGAUGUCUUGGCUCCCACAACGAUGAAGGCCGCAGCAAAAUGCGAAACGCAUUGUGAUUAGCGGAAUUCUGUGAAUCAAUAGGUCGCUGAACGCAAACGGCACUACUGCGUGAGCAGUAGUAGGUCUGUUUCAGUCUCAAUUGCAAUCUCACCAAACAAUUUGUAUUAAGGUGCAAGUUGCUAUUGGUGAGGUAAUGUGCUGCUCGAUACGUCUGGCAGUCGCAGUGUUCUAUAACAGUUCAUUAGGUUAACAUAUUGGUUUAUCAUAUGUUGCUGAAGAACUACUAAGUUAUAGCAUACUAUACCCUAUGAGCCGAAAUCAGACCAGGCUACCCGCUGGACUUAAGCAUAUUAGUCAGCGGAGGA